rnacentral:rRNA from 1 species
GAUGAACGCUGGCGGCGUGCUUAACACAUGCAAGUCGAACGAAGCGCCUUGAUUUGAUUCUUCGGAUGAAGAUCUUGGUGACUGAGUGGCGGACGGGUGAGUAACGCGUGGGUAACCUGCCUCAUACAGGGGGAUAACAGUUAGAAAUGACUGCUAAUACCGCAUAAGACCACAGCACCGCAUGGUGCAGGGGUAAAAACUCCGGUGGUAUGAGAUGGACCCGCGUCUGAUUAGGUGGUUGGUGGGGUAACGGCCUACCAAGCCGACGAUCAGUAGCCGACCUGAGAGGGUGACCGGCCACAUUGGGACUGAGACACGGCCCAAACUCCUACGGGAGGCAGCAGUGGGGAAUAUUGCACAAUGGGGGAAACCCUGAUGCAGCGACGCCGCGUGAGCGAUGAAGUAUUUCGGUAUGUAAAGCUCUAUCAGCAGGGAAGAAAAUGACGGUAC